ACAUGCAAGUCGAGCGGACAGAUGGGAGCUUGCUCCCUGAUGUUAGCGGCGGACGGGUGAGUAACACGUGGGUAACCUGCCUGUAAGACUGGGAUAACUCCGGGAAACCGGGGCUAAUACCGGAUGCUUGUUUGAACCGCAUGGUUCAAACAUAAAAGGUGGCUUCGGCUACCACUUACAGAUGGACCCGCGGCGCAUUAGCUAGUUGGUGAGGUAAUGGCUCACCAAGGCAACGAUGCGUAGCCGACCUGAGAGGGUGAUCGGCCACACUGGGACUGAGACACGGCCCAGACUCCUACGGGAGGCAGCAGUAGGGAAUCUUCCGCAAUGGACGAAAGUCUGACGGAGCAACGCCGCGUGAGUGAUGAAGGUUUUCGGAUCGUAAAGCUCUGUUGUUAGGGAAGAACAAGUACCGUUCGAAUAGGGCGGUACCUUGACGGUACCUAACCAGAAAGCCACGGCUAACUACGUGCCAGCAGCCGCGGUAAUACGUAGGUGGCAAGCGUUGUCCGGAAUUAUUGGGCGUAAAGGGCUCGCAGGCGGUUCCUUAAGUCUGAUGUGAAAGCCCCCGGCUCAACCGGGGAGGGUCAUUGGAAACUGGGGAACUUGAGUGCAGAAGAGGAGAGUGGAAUUCCACGUGUAGCGGUGAAAUGCGUAGAGAUGUGGAGGAACACCAGUGGCGAAGGCGACUCUCUGGUCUGUAACUGACGCUGAGGAGCGAAAGCGUGGGGAGCGAACAGGAUUAGAUACCCUGGUAGUCCACGCCGUAAACGAUGAGUGCUAAGUGUUA
rnacentral:rRNA from 1 species